UCGCCGCCGUCGUCGCCUUCGCCGCCGCAUCGCCGGGGAGCAGUGCAGCCAUUUCUUCCGUCUACAACCACAGCUUCCGCACUUCCGUCUACAGCCACUGCACCUUCAGUUUCGACCAUCUCCAGCAUCCGGAGUCCGGAUCCGGAUUUUGCAGACGACGCUUGCUUUCUCCCCAAGCCGGCGACGACCCUCCGUUCGCUGUUGACCAUCUCGGGCUGCUGCGGGCCGGCGACGUCGACUGUGUUCGCGUGCGACGACGACUGCAUUCUCCCAAAGGUCGGUGAAGGCUACUUCCCCACGACUGUCCAGAUUCGGCCGCCGUCGCCCAUCUCCACUGACCUUUGAUAAUAAUGGCUCCUAUGUGGCGAAACCCGAUCCAUCCCAAGUGGUAUUUGUUCCGGAGGUUGUUCCGGAAUCCAAUGCCUAGAAUUCCUUAUGUUCCCCGUGGUAUGUUUUGUAUUUGUUUGCAGUAGUUUAAAAUUCACAUGGUCACAAAUGGUUCUGCCGUAGUUUACUUUAAGUUGUUGUUUCUUCCAUGCAGUCAGAGUCAGGCAUGUGCCCCCUUAUAAUCCAGAGCUGCUCAAUGAAGAUAUUCGCGAUCGGCUCACCCAAUCGAUUGCCGAGCUUACCUAUUCUUUAUCCAUAUCGCUCACCAAACAUGCUCCAGCAGUGAUUCUUAGGGUUCAAGAAGGUUGUCAUUGCCUACUGUUUGAGGGUUCUUUAAUAAAAGAUUAUGUUUCUGGUAGUAGAGUCUGUCAACUAAGGUUUCCCAAUAACGAUGUUGUCGAGUUUACACAGUCUGUCAUGGAAUUAAUUAAGGGAAACCUUAAUUGGCGAUGACCGAGUAACAUUGGGUGCAGUACCUUGUAAGGCAGUUGAAAAUGGCUGUCAGCCAAUCGGGUUUGGCGAGGAUGUUGUCAUCAAUCAGAAAGUGUUUCUUUUUUAUUUCAGAUUGGGUAUCUCUUCUCUGACUAAAGGCACUGUCAACUAUGCAGAUGAGCAUCAUUUCAUUUUUGAUGCUAAACAACAUUUUGCUUAUUUCCGUGGAGCUCUUGUGUUUGCUGAGAAUGGAAAACUUGUUGGAGUGGUUUAUGGUUUAGUUGGCUCCCCAAAAGCCAUCCAGAUAAGCCAAUUAAAGGGAAUGCUGUUUAAAUUCUUUCCAGAGACAGUGACUAUUGAUGACUUCUAUCAAAAUUUGGAGCAAUCAUCAGGCAGCGUGUGUGAGAUCUAGGUUGGUUUAAUCUCACUUAACCGUGUCUGCAUGUAGAGACAGGUGUGCCUGAAUUUUGAUUGUGGAGCCUUGGGAGUUUCUGGGUUCUGGAGCAAUGGAGGUGGAUCCUGGUCGUGUUUUGCAGCAGUGCUUAACUAGUUGUACAGCCUAUGGUUGUUUGUGUGUGCGUUCUACUUAUUGUUUGGUGAACAACCCUAUUGAAGCUCUUCCUUCUUAUGCACCGAGACAUUGAGCCUAAGAUUGUCCCUUCAUAUUUUUGUUGUUGCAAUCUCGUUUAGUAACUUGUAAGCAUGGACAUAAUGGUUGCCUUUUUUGUGACAUCAUGGACAUAAUGGUUGCCUAGUUGUG